rnacentral:rRNA from 1 species
GUACGCUGGCGGCACGCCUAACACAUGCAAGUCGAACGAAGUAGCAAUACUUAGUGGCAGACGGGUGAGUAACAUGUAGGUAUCUGCCCUUUGGCCUGGAAUAACACGAGGAAACUUGUGCUAAUACCGGAUAAGUCUUUACGGAGAAAGCUUUAUGCACCAUUGGAUGAGCCUGCACUUGAUUAGUUUGUUGGUGGGGUAAUGGCCUACCAAGACUGUGAUCAAUAGCUGAUUUGAGAGGAUGAUCAGCCACAUUGGGACUGAGACACGGCCCAAACUCCUACGGGAGGCAGCAGUGGGGAAUCUUGCACAAUGGAGGAAACUCUGAUGCAGCGAUGCCGCGUGAGUGAAGAAGGCCCUUGGGUUGUAAAGCUCUUUCGUCGGGGAAGAAAAUGACUGUACCCGAAUAAGAAGGUCCGGCUAACUUCGUGCCAGCAGCCGCGGUAAUACGAAGGGACCUAGCGUAGUUCGGAAUUACUGGGCUUAAAGAGUUCGUAGGUGGUUGAAAAAGUUGGUGGUGAAAUCCCAGGGCUUAACUCUGGAACUGCCAUCAAAACUUUUCAGCUAGAGUAUGAUAG